CACGUAGGGGGCAAGCGUUGUCCGGAAUCAUUGGGCGUAAAGAGCUCGUAGGCGGCUCAGUAAGUCGGGUGUGAAACCCUCAGGCUCAACCUGGGGACGCCACCCGAUACUGCUGUGGCUAGAGUCCAGUAGGGGAGUGUGGAAUUCCCGGUGUAGCGGUGAAAUGCGCAGAUAUCGGGAGGAACACCAGCGGCGAAGGCGGCACUCUAGUACGGUACUGACGCUGAGACGCGAAAGCGUGGGGAGCGAACAGG
rnacentral:rRNA from 1 species